rnacentral:rRNA from 1 species
UACGGAGGGGGCAAGCGUUAUCCGGAUUCACUGGGUUUAAAGGGUGCGUAGGCGGAUCGGUAAGUCCGGGGUGAAAUCCCCGAGCUUAACUCGGGAACUGCCGUGGAUACUAUCGAUCUUGAAUACUGUGGAGGUAAGCGGAAUAUGUCAUGUAGCGGUGAAAUGCUUAGAUAUGACAUAGAACACCGAUAGCGAAGGCAGCUUGCUACACAGUUAUUGACAUUGAGACGCGAAAGCGUGGGGAGCAAACAGG